rnacentral:rRNA from 1 species
UACAGGGGGUGCAAACGUUGCUCGGAAUUAUUGGGCGUAAAGCGCUCGUAGGCGGCCACUUAAGUCGGAUGUGAAAGCCCCUGGCUCAACUGGGGAAGUGCACCCGAAACUGAGCGGCUUGAAUGCAAAAGAGGGUCGCGGAAUUCCCGGUGUAGAGGUGAAAUUCGUAGAUAUCGGGAGGAACACCAGUGGCGAAGGCGGCGAUCUGGGUGGAUACUGACGCUGAGGUGCGAAAGCGUGGGGAGCAAACAGG